AACGUAGGAGGCAAGCGUUAUCCGGAGUUACUGAGCGUAAAGCGCAUGUAGGCGGUUGGGUAAGUGGCGUGUGAAAGCUCCCGGCUAAACUGGGAGAGGACAGGUCAGACUGCCGAACUGGAGUCCGAUAGAGGAGCGUAGAAUUCCGGGUGUAGCGGUGAAAUGUGUAGAGAUCCGGAGGAAUACCAGUGGCGCAAGCGGCGCUCUGGGUCGGGACUGACGCUGAGAUGCGAAAGCGUGGGGAGCGAACGGG
rnacentral:rRNA from 1 species